UUUCCGUAGGUGAACCUGCGGAAGGAUCAUUGUCAAAACUUUCAUAGACAACCGCGAACCUGUUUCAAUAAUUUGGGCAAAUCGCGUGGGGUAACUCGGUGGUAUGUCCUUUCCCGCAUGGGCUGUGGGCUAACAAACUCCGGCGCGGCAUGCGCCAAGGAAAUUUAAUGGGAACGUCCGCCCCAAUCGCCCCGUUUUGCGGAAGCGAGGGGGGAUGUGCCUCAAUGUCUAAACGACUCUCGGCAACGGAUAUCUCGGCUCUCGCAACGAUGAAGAACGUAGCGAAAUGCGAUACUUGGUGUGAAUUGCAGAAUCCCGUGAACCAUCGAGUUUUUGAACGCAAGUUGCGCCCAAAGCCUCUUGGCCGAGGGCACGCCUGCCUGGGCGUCACGCAUCGCGUUGCCUCUUCUUGCCCAUGGAUAAUGGCCUCCCGUGCGCGUUAGCUUGCGGUUGGCUUAAGUUGUAUGUCGUGGCCCACACUGUCACAACAUGCGUUGGUUGAGACUCCUAGUCUUGCUCUCCUGUUGGGUGCGCGUUGCGUCCAUGAGGACCCAUUGGCGUGAACAUUCACGGCUUAGAACGCGACCCCAGGUCAGGCGGGACCACCCGCUGAGUUUAA
rnacentral:rRNA from 1 species